UAGAGACCAACCAAGUUUGUUCUUAGCUUUCGUGUGCAUGCACACUUCUUCAGAUACACACUUCUUCAGAUCUGAAGAGGUGUGCAUGCACACAAAAGCUUAUACAGUGGUACCUCGGUGU